rnacentral:lncRNA from 1 species
CCCGCUCGGCCCGGAUAACGGUGCCGCUGCGCCCCGCCAGACGCCCUGUCACCCCGCGUCCCCGGGAGCUGGCGCCGUCCCGGGCGGACACUUGGGGUCGCCCCUCGGCGGCGCCGCCGGCCCAGCCCCGGCCGGGGGACGGGUCCCGGCAGGCAGGUGGUGUUUGGACACUAGACCAUGUGCCUAGGUAGUUUUCCUUUCUCUGCAGCUCUACUCUCCCAGCAACGCUCACCACACCCUUGUUUUGAGAACCUCACUAAG